GGCGCUCUAACAUAGCGUGCUAAUGACGGUACCAGCAGAAGAAGCACCGGCUAACUACGUGCCAGCAGCCGCGGUAAUACGUAGGGUGCGAGCGUUAAUCGGAAUUACUGGGCGUAAAGCGUGCGCAGGCGGAUUGUUAAGCAAGACGUGAAAUCCCCGGGCUUAACCUGGGAAUGGCGUUUUGAACUGGCAGUCUAGAGUGCGUCAGAGGGGGGUGGAAUUCCACGUGUAGCAGUGAAAUGCGUAGAGAUGUGGAGGAACACCGAUGGCGAAGGCAGCCCCCUGGGAUGACACUGACGCUCAUGUACGAAAGCGUGGGUAGCAAACAGGAUUAGAUACCCUGGUAGUCCACGCCCUAAACGAUGUCAACUGGUUGUUGGGGGAGUGAAAUCCCUUAGUAACGAAGCUAACGCGUGAAGUUGACCGCCUGGGGAGUACGGUCGCAAGAUUAAAACUCAAAGGAAUUGACGGGGACCCGCACAAGCGGUGGAUGAUGUGGAUUAAUUCGAUGCAACGCGAAAAACCUUACCUACCCUUGACAUGUCCAGAACCCUGAAGAGAUUUGGGGGUGCCCGAAAGGGAAUUGGAACACAGGUGCUGCAUGGCUGUCGUCAGCUCGUGUCGUGAGAUGUUGGGUUAAGUCCCGCAACGAGCGCAACCCUUAUCAUUAGUUGCUACGCAAGGGCACUCUAAUGAGACUGCCGGUGACAAACCGGAGGAAGGUGGGGAUGACGUCAAGUCCUCAUGGCCCUUAUGGGUAGGGCUUCACACGUCAUACAAUGGUCGGUACAGAGGGUUGCCAAGCCGCGAGGUGGAGCCAAUCCCAGAAAGCCGAUCGUAGUCCGGAUUGUUCUCUGCAACUCGAGAGCAUGAAGUCGGAAUCGCUAGUAAUCGCGGAUCAGCAUGUCGCGGUGAAUACGUUCCCGGGUCUUGUACACACCGCCCGUCACACCAUGGGAGUGGAAUCUGGCAGAAGUAGGUAGCCUAACCGCAAGGGGGGCGCUUACCACGCUGGGUUUCAUGACUGGGGUGAAGUCGUAACAAGGUAACCGAAUCUCUGAAGAUCCGCGCUAACCGUCCC
rnacentral:rRNA from 1 species